CUGACUAAGCCGCCCAGGUGCCCCUGUCAAAACUUAUUCUUAAUUUCCAUUAUAAGUUACAUGAACUGUAAUAUUUUCUAAGCUUUCGAUAUUACUAUAAUAAUUUAUCAUAACUUAUAAUAUUUCAUGAAACCAUCUUGAUAAAAUAUAGAGGCUAUUUUCUCCUGCAGUAUAGAUUUUCUAAGCCCUUGGUAGGUGUUUGUUGAAUGAAUGAUAAAAAGAUGAAUAAAUACACUGAAAACUCAUUGCAGACUACACACUAGAACACAGCAAAGGAGUAAGAGUCAGAGAUCUUAUUUUUCAUAUUUUUAUGAUCUAAUUUCAUAGUCUUAUAACAAAUUUCAUGAGGAAAGUAUUGCAACAAGGCUCCAAUCCAUAUGAGAAAAUGUAUUCAUAUAUAUAAACCAUGGGAGAAAUGUUAUAGUUAGAAACUACGUGAUUUCUGAAGAAACCAGUCAUAUAAUACCUUACAAAUAUACUGAAGUUUACAAAAUGGACCAUAGGCAUCAAUAGCCACCAUUUACUGAAAGCUUAUUAAGUGCCAAGUGAUUACAUGUAUCUUCUCUAAUCCUAAUGGAAUCUUCCUAGGUGUGAUAUUGAAAGUUUAUAGGUGAGGAAACUGAGGCUCGGGUAGAUAAGGAACUUAUCCCAGACCUCACAUGUGCACAUCUAGGCAUAGAGGCAUUUGUGCCUCUCCAAAGUCUAUGCCCUUCCCCAACACAUUGCAUCUAUGUGGGGUGGUGGAAACGUGAGUAUUGUUACCCCCUAGUGUACAGACAGGGUAACUGAGACCCAGAAACUAAGUGGCUUGCCCAAAGGUGCAAAGGCUAAGAGUUUCCAAAGUAAGACCCAUGUCCAGACUUUCCUGCUUCUUAUGUUCCCUAAAAGAACCUCCUAACCAAAAAGGUGGAUAAGAUAAACACGUAAUAAAUAAUAUCCUAUCAGUCCAGUUGUUUUUAAAUCCAUGACUUGUAAACCAAGCUAUUCACAAGGUCGAUUCUUAGUUGAAUUUAUAAUUUCUCCAAGCUGGGAAAUUAUUUUGCCUAGUUAAGAUGGGCUUAUACUAUAAUAAAUAAUAAUAAAUAACAUUUAUUCUCUUAAAUGUUAUUUGUAAUUUGCUAGUACUUUCCCUGAUUCUCUAUAUGUCUUAAAUGCAUUGUGUAAUAUUUCACAAUCUACUCAGGACAGUGAGUAUAAAUGCUCGAACCAGGAUUUUUUAGAUAACUAUCUUACUGAAGAAAAGUUUUCUUCUUUUUCAAUAAGAAACAACUUCCAUCUGGAGUUUUGCCUUUAACCAGGCUAGUGCCCUGGGUGGUAAUUCUGUAGUUUUCCAGAUAGACCGGUAUCUGUGUAUUUUAUACAUGUUUUAAAUAACAUCAGGAGCAUCAGGCAUUUUUAGAAGCAGUUUCUUCUUAAAUCGGAAAAAUAUCUGAACGUGUGCUUUGAUGUCAAGUUAAAAAUAAGAAUUUUGUGUUUUGGACAUUUUAGAGCUGUCACUCAAAGGACUGUGGAAGAUGAGUUUAUUUUGGUUGCUGAAACCUUCUAUAGGUAGAGCAGAUUUUAAAACUCUGGUUUUGAUCUUGUAUCCAUUUCAGUUGUGUAUGAAAACUCUUGGGUUUUUUUCAUGCUUCUUAUUUGAGUCCUUUAAAAUAUAAUAAGAUAUGGGAUAUUUUCUAAGCUUUCCUAGGUUUCCUGGGUUCUUCUGUUAAAAUAAAAUGCUUUAAAAUUACAAAAAAUCUUAAAUAUGCUCUGAUAUGCUAGUAAAGGUUAUGAAUAGACAAAAUUUCUUUGGAAGUGAAGAGGAAAAUGUGUGACAAAGAAAGUGAAUCUAUCCAAUUAUACAACAGAGAGUUCUGUAAUAACACCCAUUUUUCAGUAGCACACCAAUUAAGUUAUGCAUUUCUUUAUGCUAAUAUGGAUGUGCUAUUAUGAAUUUUAUUUUAUAAUUUCUUCCCUGGUUGUUAAGAGUACAAAUUUCAUAUUCAGAAGAAUAUUGAAAAUCUCAGAUCUACUUGUUAGCUGUGUGACCCUGGGCAAAUAACUCUAUGACACAAUCUCCUCAUCUGUGAAAUGGGGAUAAUAAUAUUUUCCGUGUAGGGCGGCAGGGAGGAUUAAAGGAGACUUAGUAUGGUGCCUGGCAAGUAGUAGUGAACGAUGAAUGUGAACUGUUGUUAUUAUUCUGGAAAUGAUACAGAGCACCUGCAGACCAGCUUUUUCAGAGUUAUCACGAUUAAGACUCAGCCGCAAUUCAGUAAAACAAUCUUAAGCUUGUGCCUUGCCUGAUUAAGAAAAAAAAAAAAAAGCUCAAUUCCAACUCCAGUUAAAAUAGUUAGGAGAGUCUCACUGGCACAAAGCCGGCAUGUUUCACAGCAGAGGAAUUGGAAGGAUGAUCAGGUUGAAUGCAGAGAGGAGAGUCAGUGUCCAGGAGGAUCUCUGGUCUACGCAGGGUGCCUCCAAGGUCAGGGUAUCCAUUCAUGCAAUAGCGUUUUUGUAAGAUUUAACAAUUGACCGUGCCAAACUGGUGAAUACUGAGAUAUAGUAGGGAACCAGCUAUAAUCCCUGUUCUCAAGGAGACUAUAGUGUCACAGACUGUAAGGGAGAAAAUGGUCUUGAGUUCAGGCCAAGGUGCCGGUACACAAGGACAGUCCAUUGUGACAGAAGAGAGACAGGCCCUCCAUUAUGAGGCACAAUAAUGAGUUGGGACCAGAAGAAAGAGCCCAAUCAAUUGUCAGUGAUGGAAUUGCUGAUCUGAUGGAAGUGAUGGGGGGGGUGGGAUAGGAUUAGCAGGCAUAGAGGACCAGAGCAGAGCAGAAUGCAGAAUGGAUAUAUCUACAGAAAAGAUGUGUUGAUGAGGGCCCGUUCAGGAUAAAUCACAAGAAUGGAUCGUUUUUUCCCCAGCUACUGCUGAAAUGUACAAUUUGAUGCCCUCCUCCUCUAGAACAUUCAACUUGGGUAGCCCAUCUGUGUGACCCACAGUACAAAAUUAUUACAGUGUUGGUGAUUUUUAAAAACCAUUAAAGAAGAAUGUGGGAGCAGAGUUGACAUCAGGGACAGUGAACGCUCUCAUAUCUGGAAGCUUCCCAUUUGUCUGGACCCCAUCUCGGAGAAAGCACAAAAUGUAUCCUGCACAGA